UACGGAGGGGGCGAGCGUUGUUCGGAUUUACUGGGCGUAAAGGGCGCGUAGGCGGACCGUCAAGUCAGGGGUGAAAGGCCUGGGCUCAACCCGGGAACUGCCUUUGAAACUAGUGGUCUCGAGUCCGGGAGAGGAUGGCGGAAUUCCCAGUGUAGAGGUGAAAUUCGUAGAUAUUGGGAAGAACACCGGUGGCGAAGGCGGCCAUCUGGUCCGGAACUGACGCUGAGGCGCGAAAGCGUGGGGAGCAAACAGG
rnacentral:misc_RNA from 1 species